UAAGAUUUUAUGAUUAUAUAAGAGUAGAACUAAGGCUAACAAAUCAUGAUAAAAUUUUCUUACAAAGAACCUGGACGUAUCCUUUAAAUUUUAGCUUUGAUGAAUAANGAUAAAAUAAUUAAGCAAGAGUGUCUCAGGAUCCAAAGUAAAAGAUAAUAAUCAGUUGUUACUUUUGGAACUAAUGCUUACCUUAAUAUAUCAGCAGUAUAAACUUGAAAUAAGACGUUUGAUGAGUAGAUNGAAGAUANACACAACUCGAUACGGUUCUAUUACUUGGUUUUCUUCUCCUUUUCGACCUGGGGUUUUUGGUACAAUAUUAUCUGACUUAGGAUGGUAAAAUUUGUUGCGACACCAAUUGCAUAGCCCAAGAGAACUUCAAAAAAAUUAAGAAAAAGUCACAAUGAUAGGAAAUAGUACANGAAGACAUUUAAAAUAACACUGCUAUACAGACCAAAAAUGUCAAUGACAGAAUUUUGUUAGUAUCAAGUCAAGGAGACCGAAGACAUGAUUUUUGAGACAUAAUGCUAAUUAAGUAACAAUGUUUCUAAUUGAUUGCUUUGGAUAUGCCCAAAGAUUACGUAGUUCCUUUUUAUAAAGAAUUCUAGAAUCUCUGCUCCCAAACACCAUUUUACCUAAAUAAACUCUGCACACGUGUGUGGUGUACACGUAUACACAAACCUUAACAAUUUGAAUUUAUGCAAGUAAACGGGAAUUCGGUGUUUAUAAAACAUGUCACGGUUUACAAGCAUUUUUUUAGGACAGAGGGCAGACAUGUCAUUUUUUUUUCCAAUCAUUCAUCUAAUAUGAGGUAAGAUGAAGUUGUCCAGUCAAAAAGGGUUAAUUUGUGAGUUACUAAAAGUUGACACAUGUAUAGAAGAAUAAUGUAGAACAAACCGAAUUGGAAAGUUGGUCAGGUUUAGUGCAACAAGUUGACAUAUGGUAAGGUAAACAUCACCAUUUUAGAAAUAUCCUUCCUAUUUAAUGUACGAACAAAAUAUGUAAGUUUUCUCCUAUAAGCUAUUCAUUGCUAGCUCUAUUCAAUGUACGAACAAAAUAACUCUAUUCAUUGCUAGAUGUGUGAAAUGAAUCUUCG
rnacentral:lncRNA from 1 species